AAUGUAAUUCAAUGGAUGAGACUAGUAAUUCUAAAGCAAGAGAUAUGAAACGUGUACAGUGAGCCACCAUUUCUAAUAUGAAUGUGUCAAAUAUAUGAAAAAAAUCCCUGAUGAAAGGAAGUUAGAGAACCACUAUAUCCAACUUAAAUAGGCUAGAUAAACUCUUUCCAAU